UCCCAGAGAACACACAUAUGGUUAAUAAUGUAUACUUUGUAAGUCACUUUGGAUAAAAGUAAUGCAAAUGUAACCCAUAACAUCAUUUAAUACACACUCAGAAUGCCAAAGCCCUAAAGCAAUCUUCUUCUCAGGCUUCUCUCUGGGUUUAACCCAACCAAAGUCAAAGGUGCGGGGUCAAAGGUCGAGUUCAGACCUCUUAUCUACAGCCUUCUAUUUUCCAGAGAGUUGAAUGCAGACAGGUAACCAUAACCUGAACAGAGGACUUAAACAGCAGCCCACUUGACACCACAGAACCCACAGCCGCCAAAGAGAAAAGCCUUUGGCUCAAUGACAACUUGCACGGCUACACUGGAAGGGCUAAAUCUGGGAAUUUUGCUGAAGAAGUGAAAAUGCACCACGGACAGAGAUGACAUCUGUAUCCUUCAGCUGUUUGUGUGCGUGCGGUGCGUGUCUAGAAGAUCGAUCACCAGCGUGUGUGAAAGUUUCCCUGGGUGUUGGGGUAUCGGAGAGGAACCCCACGGUACUGGAGCCGGCGGGAGCUCUGAGGCUCUGCGAGGAGAGCUGUGCUGAGUAAAGGACGCUGGGAACGGAGCUCCUGCAGAGUAAGCAAACAUCUCCAGAGCGCAAGCACACACACACGCACGCUCCCAGACUCGCAAUUACUCAAACUCGAACACAUACAAACACAUGUCCCAUGUGAAAAACAUACAACAAAGCUAUGUUUAAAAUAGCAUGAUACUAUUAUUAUUUAUGGUAGGCUAUGUAUAGUAUGUAUCUAUAUGCAUAGAAAACCUGGAAGACUUUGCUAGAUUUGCUAAAAUCAUCAUUAUUUGAAUAGACUGCUGAAAGGUGCACUUUGUAAUUUUUUGUUUAUGCUGGACAAUAUUAAAGUCAUCUGGGGACUUCCACCGGCGUUUAGUGGCAUUGGUUCAGCAUGAUGCAAAAGCAUUACUUUUUGGAUGAUGAUGCUGUAAAAUAAAUGUGCUUGGCUAUUUGUAGCUGGUCUGUUAAGUUUAAUAACAAGGUGGUUACUUACUAAGAUAAACUGAGUAGGAUUCACGUGAUCUCAGUAUGGCAGACCACAUGAGCUGACCCGCUCAAAUCAAUUAGGUUUAAUUAAGCUGCUGUUGUGACUGACAUUUUUAUUUAAUUUGUUCCUGUACAACUCGGUGGUAGAGCAAUACGUUUGUUAGUGCAAAAGGUAAUGGGUUCGAACCUUGUGAACACACAUACUAAUAAGAGAAAUGUGUACCUUGUAAUGCACUGUAAGUUGCU